UAUUUCAUAACUUUGACCUCAAAUCAGGUAGGACUACCCGCUGAACUUAAGCAUAUCAAUAAGCGGAGGAAAGGGAUCAUUACUGAUUUGCUUAAUUGCACACAUGUGUUUUUUAUGGAAAAAUUUUU
rnacentral:rRNA from 1 species